GGUUAAGCGACUAAGCGUACACGGUGGAUGCCCUGGCAGUCAGAGGCGAUGAAGGACGUGCUAAUCUGCGAUAAGCGUCGGUAAGGUGAUAUGAACCGUUAUAACCGGCGAUUUCCGAAUGGGGAAACCCAGUGUGUUUCGACACACUAUCAUUAACUGAAUCCAUAGGUUAAUGAGGCGAACCGGGGGAACUGAAACAUCUAAGUACCCCGAGGAAAAGAAAUCAACCGAGAUUCCCCCAGUAGCGGCGAGCGAACGGGGAGGAGCCCAGAGCCUGAAUCAGUGUGUGUGUUAGUGGAAGCGUCUGGAAAGGCGCGCGAUACAGGGUGACAGCCCCGUACACAAAAAUGCACAUACUGUGAGCUCGAUGAGUAGGGCGGGACACGUGGUAUCCUGUCUGAAUAUGGGGGGACCAUCCUCCAAGGCUAAAUACUCCUGACUGACCGAUAGUGAACCAGUACCGUGAGGGAAAGGCGAAAAGAACCCCGGCGAGGGGAGUGAAAAAGAACCUGAAACCGUGUACGUACAAGCAGUGGGAGCCUCUUUUAUGGGGUGACUGCGUACCUUUUGUAUAAUGGGUCAGCGACUUAUAUUCUGUAGCAAGGUUAACCGAAUAGGGGAGCCGAAGGGAAACCGAGUCUUAACUGGGCGUUAAGUUGCAGGGUAUAGACCCGAAACCCGGUGAUCUAGCCAUGGGCAGGUUGAAGGUUGGGUAACACUAACUGGAGGACCGAACCGACUAAUGUUGAAAAAUUAGCGGAUGACUUGUGGCUGGGGGUGAAAGGCCAAUCAAACCGGGAGAUAGCUGGUUCUCCCCGAAAGCUAUUUAGGUAGCGCCUCGUGAAUUCAUCUCCGGGGGUAGAGCACUGUUUCGGCAAGGGGGUCAUCCCGACUUACCAACCCGAUGCAAACUGCGAAUACCGGAGAAUGUUAUCACGGGAGACACACGGCGGGUGCUAACGUCCGUCGUGAAGAGGGAAACAACCCAGACCGCCAGCUAAGGUCCCAAAGUCAUGGUUAAGUGGGAAACGAUGUGGGAAGGCCCAGACAGCCAGGAUGUUGGCUUAGAAGCAGCCAUCAUUUAAAGAAAGCGUAAUAGCUCACUGGUCGAGUCGGCCUGCGCGGAAGAUGUAACGGGGCUAAACCAUGCACCGAAGCUGCGGCAGCGACGCUUAUGCGUUGUUGGGUAGGGGAGCGUUCUGUAAGCCUGUGAAGGUGUACUGUGAGGUAUGCUGGAGGUAUCAGAAGUGCGAAUGCUGACAUAAGUAACGAUAAAGCGGGUGAAAAGCCCGCUCGCCGGAAGACCAAGGGUUCCUGUCCAACGUUAAUCGGGGCAGGGUGAGUCGACCCCUAAGGCGAGGCCGAAAGGCGUAGUCGAUGGGAAACAGGUUAAUAUUCCUGUACUUGGUGUUACUGCGAAGGGGGGACGGAGAAGGCUAUGUUGGCCGGGCGACGGUUGUCCCGGUUUAAGCGUGUAGGCUGGUUUUCCAGGCAAAUCCGGAAAAUCAAGGCUGAGGCGUGAUGACGAGGCACUACGGUGCUGAAGCAACAAAUGCCCUGCUUCCAGGAAAAGCCUCUAAGCAUCAGGUAACAUCAAAUCGUACCCCAAACCGACACAGGUGGUCAGGUAGAGAAUACCAAGGCGCUUGAGAGAACUCGGGUGAAGGAACUAGGCAAAAUGGUGCCGUAACUUCGGGAGAAGGCACGCUGAUAUGUAGGUGAAGCGACUUGCUCGUGGAGCUGAAAUCAGUCGAAGAUACCAGCUGGCUGCAACUGUUUAUUAAAAACACAGCACUGUGCAAACACGAAAGUGGACGUAUACGGUGUGACGCCUGCCCGGUGCCGGAAGGUUAAUUGAUGGGGUUAGCGGUAACGCGAAGCUCUUGAUCGAAGCCCCGGUAAACGGCGGCCGUAACUAUAACGGUCCUAAGGUAGCGAAAUUCCUUGUCGGGUAAGUUCCGACCUGCACGAAUGGCGUAAUGAUGGCCAGGCUGUCUCCACCCGAGACUCAGUGAAAUUGAACUCGCUGUGAAGAUGCAGUGUACCCGCGGCAAGACGGAAAGACCCCGUGAACCUUUACUAUAGCUUGACACUGAACAUUGAGCCUUGAUGUGUAGGAUAGGUGGGAGGCUUUGAAGUGUGG
rnacentral:rRNA from 1 species